AACGCACAUUGCGCCUCUCGGUAUUCCGGGAGGCACGCCUGUUCGAGCGCCAUUACACACUCCAAGCGAAGCUUGAUGUUGGGCGAAGCGGUACCCACCGCCCGCCUGGAACGCGUGGGCGCCCGCCGCCGGACCGCGAACGUAGCAAGACAAUCGUCAAGUCGUUCUGCGGGCUCCGACGGGGGGCAGCCUCAUAAAAACAUUUUAUAUCCAGUUUGGCCUCGGAUCAGGCGGGGAUACCCGCUGAACUUAA
rnacentral:misc_RNA from 1 species